ACAGGCGAAGGCUGCGAGUUCGAGUCUCGUGCGUGGUAGCCGCGUUGGCUCAAUGGUAGAGCGUCGCCCUCCUACU
rnacentral:tRNA from 1 species